rnacentral:rRNA from 1 species
GAAAGUAAGCAAGGGCAGACGGUGGAUGCCUUGGCUCUCGGAGGCGACGAAGGACGUGAUAAGCUGCGAAAAGCCCGGGGGAGGCGCAAAUAGCCCUUGAUCCCGGGAUAUCCGAAUGGGGCAACCCGGCAGGCUGAAGGCCUGCCAUCCCGUAAGGGAGGCGAACGUGGGGAACUGAAACAUCUAAGUACCCAUAGGAGGAGAAAAUAAACAAUGAUUCCGUAAGUAGUGGCGAGCGAACACGGAAGAGCCCAAACCCGUGCCGUCUAGGCGACACGGGGGUUGUAGGACCACGACGUGGCAAGAUAGAGUCAAGUGGAACGCCUUGGAAAAGGCGACCGUAGAGGGUGAUAGUCCCGUACACGACUGACGAUUGAAGCCUAGUGGCAUCCUGAGUAGCGCGGGGCACGAGAAAUCUUGCGUGAAACUGCGGGGCCCAUCCCGUAAGGCUAAAUACUCCCGAGAGACCGAUAGCGAACCAGUACCGUGAGGGAAAGGUGAAAAGAACCCCGAGCAGGGGAGUGAAAUAGACCCUGAACCCGUCUGCCUACAAGCGGUCGGAGCAUAGCAAUAUGUGACGGCGUGCCUUUUGCAUAAUGAACCUACGAGUUACCUUCCCCGGCAAGGUUAAGUACCUAAGGUACGGAGCCGAAGCGAAAGCGAGUCUGAAGAGGGCGGCCAGUCGGGGGGGGUAGACGCGAAACCGAGUGAUCUACCCUUGGCCAGGUUGAAGGUUGGGUAACACCAACUGGAGGACCGGAUGGGUAAGCGUUGAAAAGCUUUCCAAUGAGCUGAGGGUAGGGGUGAAAGGCUAAUCAAACUCGGAGAUAGCUCGUACUCCCCGAAAUGCAUUUAGGUGCAGCCUCUUUAUAGUAUAUCGUGAGGUAGAGCGACUGAUUGGAUGCGAGGGCUUCACCGCCUAUCAAGUCCAGAUAAACUCCGAAUGCGCGAUAUAUAUUUAAAGGGAGUGAGGGCGCGGGUGCUAAGGUCCGUGUCCGAGAGGAGAAGAAUCCAGACCACCGGCUAAGGCCCCCAAAUGAUCGUUGAGUUGAACUAACGAGGUCGGAUCGCAGAGACAGCUAGGAUGUUGGCUUGGAAGCAGCCAUUCAUUUAAAGAGUGCGUAACAGCUCACUAGUCGAGCGAUCUGGCGUGGAUAAUAAUCGGGCAUAAACGAUCUGCCGAAGCCGUGGAUGUCGUAAGACAUGGUAGGGGAGCAUUCCAUGCGGCGUCGAAGAUGAGGGAUGACCCUUGUUGGAGCGCAUGGAAAAGCAAAUGUAGGUAUGAGUAACGAUAAGGGGGGCGAGAAACCCCCCCGCCGAAAGACCAAGGUUUCCUGAUCAACGCUAAUCGGAUCAGGGUGAGUCGGGACCUAAGGCAAAGCCGAACGGCGACGCCGAUGGAAGAAUGGGUUAAUAUUCCCAUACUGCCUCAUGGAGUGACGUGGAGACGGAGAAGUGACAGUCCUGCCGGCUGACGGAAUAGCCGGUUGAAGGGUGUAGAUAUUGAUUCCCGUAGGCAAAUCCGCGGGGAGAGUCGAACCUGAGAGUAUACGGAGCGCUUGCGCGACGUAAUAUGGACGUAACCAUGCUCCCAAGAAAAUCCGCUAAACUUAUCCAUGCGGCACCCGUACCGUAAACGGACACACGUGGUCGGGUUGAGAAUACUGAGGCGCUCGAGUGACUCACGGUUAAGGAACUAGGCAAAUUGACCCUGUAACUUCGGGAUAAAGGGUCCUCGUCGUAAGGCGAGGCGCAGAGAAUAGGUCCAGGCAACUGUUUAACAAAAACACAUGGCUGUGCUAAAUGGAAACAUGACGUAUACAGCCUGACACCUGCCCGGUGCUGGAAGGUUAAGAGGAGAUGUCAUCGCAAGAGAAGCGUUGAAUUGAAGCCCCAGUAAACGGCGGCCGUAACUAUAACGGUCCUAAGGUAGCGAAAUUCCUUGUCG